rnacentral:lncRNA from 1 species
GGGGGGGGUCACUCAUGGGGCCGUGCGGGGACUCCGGAGUUAUCCCAUGGGUAUCCAUAGGCUUAGGAAGGAUCCAGAGGGGACAGGGACACUUUGGGGUGGUCCUGAACGGAGGGGUGGAUUUGGAGGGGAUGCUGAGGGGGGUUUCAUGGAAUUCUGACCUGAGGAGUUUCUGGAGAGGACCCGCGGCCGCAUCCCGGGGUUUCUGGGGAGCAAACACAUCCCGUGUGCCCGCCCAGGUUCUCCCACAUGAUCCAGGACAAGGCUCUCCGCACCUCCUGGGCCCGGAAGAUGAAGGAGAGGCAGGAAAAGAAGCUGGUCCGGGAUCUGGCCCGACAGCUGGAGGAAGGGAAGCGGAGGGAGCGAGAGGAGAAGAAGCGGCGGCGGGAGGAGAACCUGAAGCGGCGCCUGGAAAACGAGCGGAAAGCAGAGAUUGUCCAAGUGAUCCGGAACCCCCUGAAGCUCAAGAGGGCCAAGAAGAAGCAGCUCCGGCGGGUGGAAAAGCGGGACACGCUGGCCCUGCUCCAGAAAACCCCUGUCCGGCGCGGCACAGCCACGGAAUGAGGCGGGAAUCGGGAUCCUGCCGUGCCCAGGACGUGCGGCUGGGAUUCCUAUGGAUCCUGCUCCCUUCUCCAGGGAUGUUUUCCUUGGCUUGCAGGGCAGGAAUUGCUGCUGGGACCCUCAGUGUUGAACAGACAACAGGACAGAUGAUCCACAGGAACCUGCUGGAUCCCCAUCCCCGUGGAAUUGGGAUGUUGCUGGAACAGAACUUUGCUUUCCCAUCCCCGUGGAAUUGGGAUGUUGCUGGAACAGAACUUUGCUUUCCCAAAUCUGCCUUUUCCCUAUAAAAAUGAACAGGAACUGAGACAGAUUUGCCUCCAGUGGCUCCACCUGGGACCUUCCCUAAGGCAUUCCUGGGAUCGGAGUGUUUCAUGGCCCUCCAUUCUCUGAGGCUCCCCCUUCCCAAAGAGCAAAUUCCCGCUGGGAAUGAGCCUCAGAGCCAAUCCCCAAGGAAGGGGACACAUCCCUGAAGAGAUGGGAGGGGGGCACACCUUCUUGACACCCUUUUUUGGGGGAGACAACACUGGGAAUUUGUGGGGGAUUGGAAGGGCUGGGAAUUUGGGGGUGGGGGUGGAAGAAAGAGGCUCAGGGUGGGAAAAUCAUGUGGAUUUCUUCACAUUCCUGGUUUUUCUUGCUCCAUGAACACCCUUUUCUGCAUUCCUGGGGAGGAAUGGGAUAAAGAGACAAUGGGGGGGGGGAACAAG